GACGAACGCUGGCGGUGUGCUUAACACAUGCAAGUCGAACGGAAAGGCCCUGCUUUUGUGGGGUGCUCGAGUGGCGAACGGGUAAGUAACACGUGAGUAACCUGCCCUUGACUUUGGGAUAACUUCAGGAAACUGGGGCUAAUACCGGAUAGGAGCUCCUGCUGCAUGGUGGGGGUUGGAAAGUUUCGGCGGUUGGGGAUGGACUCGCGGCUUAUCAGCUUGUUGGUGGGGUAGUGGCUUACCAAGGCUUUGACGGGUAGCCGGCCUGAGAGGGUGACCGGCCACAUUGGGACUGAGAUACGGCCCAGACUCCCACGGGAGGCAGCAGUGGGGAAUAUUGCACAAUGGGCGGAAGCCUGAUGCAGCAACGCCGCGUGCGGGAUGACGGCCUUCGGGUUGUAAACCGCUUUCGCCUGUGACGAAGCGUGAGUGACGGUAAUGGGUAAAGAAGCACCGGCUAACUACGU
rnacentral:rRNA from 1 species